rnacentral:rRNA from 1 species
AUUGAACGCUGGCGGCAGGCCUAACACAUGCAAGUCGAGCGAGCGGCGGACGGGUGAGUAAUGUCUGUGAAACUGCCUGAUGGAGUGGGAUAACUACUGGAUACGGUAGCUAAUACCGCAUACCAUCAGAUUUGCCCCGAUGGGUGUAGCUAGUAGGUGGGGUAAUGGCUCACCUAGGCGACGAGCCCUAGCUGGGCUGCGAGGGUGACCAGCCACACGGGGACGGGGAGACGGUCGAGACUCCUACGGGAGGCAGCAGGGGGGACUGUUGCCUAAUGGGCGCAGGCCUGAUGCAGCCAUGCCGCGUGUGUGAAGGAGGCCUUCGGGUUGUAAAGCACUUUCAGCGGGGAGGCGUUACCCGCAGAAGAAGCACCGGCUAACUCCGUGCCAGCAGCCGCGGUAAUUC